AGGCCGGGAGCGCCGAGAUGGCGGUCGGUAAGGACCUGCUGCAGCUGGACCUGUACAGACUGCUGGGGGUCGGCGAGAAGGCGUCGGAGCAGGAGGUGAAGAAAGCGUACCGGCAGAAGGCGCUGACAUGUCACCCCGACAAGAACCCAGACAACCCCAGGGCAGGUCUCUUCCAUAAGGAAAUGUCUUUCCUGGUUCACCCCCAGGCCACUAGCAUGGUUUCCUGCAUCUCACCCUUUUUUCUUCUAAUCCCCAGCGGAAAUCUUCCACCAACUGUCUCAGGCCUUAGCGGUGCUCACAGAUGCAGCAGCGAGGGCAGCGUAUGACAGAGUGCGAAAGGCCAAGAAACAGGCUGCAGAGAAGACACACAGACUUGAUGAGAAGCGAAAGAAAGUGAAGCUUGACCUUGAAGCCAGAGAACGAGAAGCUCAGGCCCAUGAGAGUGAAGAGGAGGAGAUCAGGACAACGAGAUCAUUAGAACAAGAAAUAAUACGCCUGCGUGAAGAAGGUUCCCGACAGCUCAAGGAGCAGCAGAGACUCAUUCAGGAGCAGAUCCAGCAUGAAAGAGAGCAGCACUUCCAAGUCAAGCAAGAAAGGAAUGGAACAGAAGGCAAAAUAACCCCUAAACUCAAACUCAAAUGGAAAUGCAGGAAGGAAGAUGAGGCGAAAGGGGGAUACUCAGAAGAUGUUCUGCUGCAGAUCCUGCAAAAGUAUGGUGAUGUGCUCAACUUGGUGAUCUCCAGUAGGAAGACUGGGAGUGCAGUUGUGGAAUUUGCUACGGUUAAGGCUGCUGAGAUGGCUGUGAAGAAUGAAGUUGGCCUGAUAAAUAACCCUCUCAAGAUUUCCUGGCUGGAGGGCCAGCCCCAAAACAAUCCCAGCACCAUCCUUCCUGACAGCAGUAGUGAGCCCAGGACUUCCCAGGAAUCAGUGGUAUCAGAACGGGACUAUGAGAGCCUGGUGAUGAUGAGGAUGCGCCAAGCAGCAGAGAGGCAGCAGCUUAUUGCACAGCUCAAGCGGGAAGAGGAGGAGUCUCACACCUAACAUGAGAGAGGAUGGAUUCUCCCACCCCAGCAUUCUGCAUUUCCAAAGCUGCUUCUUAAUUUAAAGUCAAUAAACCUCCUUUUAUAAGC